rnacentral:rRNA from 1 species
GUGAAAUUGUUGAAAGGGAAGCACUUGAAGUCAGCCAUGCUGCUUGAGACUCAGCCUGGCUUUUGCUUGGUGUAUUUCUCGGUGGCAAGCCAGCAUUGGUUUGUGUCGUCGGAGAAGCGCAUGGGGAAUGUGGCAUCCUCGGAUGUGUUAUAGCCCUGUGCAGGAUACGACGAUGUAGACCAAGUGCGCAGUGUGCCCUCUGGGCGGGUMUUCGGACACCUUCACACUUAGGAU